GUGCGAGACCGAUAGCGAACAAGUACCGUGAGGGAAAGAUGAAAAGAACUUUGAAAAGAGAGUUAAAGAGUACCUGAAACUGCUGAAAGGGAACCGAGUCGUAUCUAGUGUCCAUAAUCUGUGGCAUAUUCCACUGCUGUGCGGAUGCGUGUGGUGUUUGGGAAGUGCUUUUAGUGCUCCUGAUGCUAUUGUGCGUUAGCUUGGCGGUGCUCUGUGUCAUGGUGUGACGUCAAAGUCAGUUCGUAUGCUGCGAGAAAUGGCUGCCGGGAAGGUAGGUCACUUCGGUGACUGUUUAUAGCCUGGCGUGCUAGUAGUCGUGGUUGGGACUGAGGUGCCUC
rnacentral:rRNA from 2 species